UGUUUUCCUGUCUGUGUUUCCCUUGUUGGGCCGCCAGAUGGCGGCACUUCUGUUUUGUGUCCUGCUCCCCCCUGUUAAUUGUAUUAUUGUUGUCUUGUUAUUCUAUCAUUGUUCCCAUCUGUGUCUUGUUAUCCCCUCCUUUUCUGGGUUGAUUGUUUUUUGAGUUCACCUGUGUCUUGUUACCCCCUGUCUAUUUAAGUUCUUUGUUCCCUUGACUCGGGUGCUGGUUCCUUGUGUUUGUUCCCGACUUGUGUUUCAGACCCUGUAUUCAGGCUUUUGACGAAGAUGGCACACUGGGACUGAAGAAAGAAAAACGGCUUUCUGUCAAUGACGCAGCACGCAGAUAUGCAGUAUAGAAUGUCAAUUACACAACCUGGCGAUGGUUUCCACGGCUGCGGAGCAGCUAAAGCUCUGCUUUAACCCAGAGAUGGAAAAUCCAGGUUCAGAAAGUAAGUCCUCCCCAAACCUAAUUUUAUUCCAUUCACCUAGAUUUGCUAAUUAGCACAAUUCUUCAGCCAGGAGGUGGAACUAAUUAGAGCAAUCACAUGGCUGAGUUAGUGAGUAGAAGAAACACAUAGCAGGACUUACUUUCUGACCCCUGGAAUUUACAGAUUUGGUUUAGCCAUGUCCCUCCAUGGUCCGGAGCCAAACUCUGACCGCGCCCAAUGCUGACUGGCCAGCGGCCCUGCAGAGUAGCAUUGGACCGAUUGGGCUGCUGUAGUUCAUCUGCCCCAGCUGCACAUGAAGCUAACUCCUUCAACGCAGCAAUUACGCCACGGCUCAGCCAGUGCAGUGUGGAGUGACAGGAAGAGAAGGAUCACAAUGCUUCAGAAAAGAGCUGCUUGUCUGUUCUGUCCAGAUGGAGGAUGCUACCACAAAUAAAUGCUUCCAGUAUGAAUUUGUGAGUAAUUGGAACACAUGCAGUCAGGGAAAGGUGAAGCAAGACACAUGGGACUACUGAACUUUUCACCGAGGAGCAGAACAUCCUGAGCAUGCUGCUAGGACAGAUCAACUCAAUUCUAGUUGUUCUUUCUUUGAUGAUGAGUGAGGCGAGCUGUGUGUGCAUGUUUGUGGGUGGGUGAGGGUGGGGAGGUGUAUCCAAUCUUUUUAUCUUCUCUAUUUUUGAUAAUGAUUAAAAAAAAACAUUAUCUAGGAGGACAUUUUGUGAGUAACGGGUCAAAAGGGCAGG